AUGGCUGUCGUCAGCUCGUGCCGUGAGGUGUCGGGUUAAGUCCCAUAACGAGCGCAACCCCUAUUUUUAGUUACCAGCGAGUAAUGUCGGGAACUCUAGAAAAACUGCCUGUGCAAACAGAGAGGAAGGUGGGGAUGACGUCAAAUCAUCACGGCCCUUAUGUCUUGGGCUACACACGUGCUACAAUGGUUACUACAAUGUGAUGCCAUCUGGUGACAGAGAGCUAAUCAAUAAAGGUAAUCUCAGUUCGGAUCGGAGUCUGCAACUCGACUCUGUGAAGUUGGAUUCGCUAGUAAUCGUAUAUCAGCAAUGAUACGGUGAAUACGUUCCCGGGCCUUGUACACACCGCCCGUCAAGCCAUGGAAGUUUGGGGUGCCUGAAGUCAGUAACCGUAAGGAACUGCCUAGGGUAAAACAAAUAACUAGGGCUAAGUCGUAACAAGGUAGCCGUACCGGAAGGUGUGGCUGGAAUAUCUCUUUUUUUGAGUAAAUUCUUUUGUUUAGUUUCUAAUUCUAUCUUCUUUUUUUCUUUUUUCCCUUUAGAGUCUCGUAGCUCAGCUGGUUAGAGCGCUACACUGAUAAUGUAGAGGUCGGCAGUUCGAGUCUGCCCGAGACUACAAUUAUUAAAGGGGGGAUUAGCUCAGCUGGUUAGAGCGCCGCGUUUGCAACGCGGAGGUCAUCGGUUCGACUCCGAUAUUCUCCACGAAAAAGUUCUUUGACAUAUUGUAAUGAAUAUAUAUACUUAAUAUUUAAAAGUUAUUAAGGGCGUAUGGCGGAUGCCUUGGCUCUCAUUGGCGAUGAAGGACGUGACAAGCUGCGAUAAGUUUCGAUUAGGUGCAAAUAACCUUUGAAUCGAAAAUUUCCGAAUGGGGAAACCCGG
rnacentral:sRNA from 1 species